CUGUUUGCCUGGGGGAAAGCCUGCGCAGGGACUCCAGGACAACAUCACUUGGACAAGGAUCCCGGGACGAAAACCCCCAGGACCACCCGUCUCUCCUGGUCCCAGGGCCGUGGUUGGACAGCAAACCCUGACUGAAACCUGGCAAAGGCUCUAGUUCUCGUCACAACAGGUGUGGCCGCCCUGGCUCCGCCUCCCUGUCAGGAGCCUCGGGAGGAGAACACGCUCGUCAC
rnacentral:lncRNA from 1 species